AUAUUUAACUGGCUGGGGAGGUACUGUGAUUACGAAGGUGGUUUUCCCAGGGGGAGGCUUAUGUAUUGCACUCCGGAUGUGCUGACUUCGCGAUUUCCCCCCAAAUGGGGAAACUGACUGCAAAAUUUGUGGUAAAUGUGGAGACUGUGUUCGCGCUUUCCGAC